rnacentral:rRNA from 1 species
UCAUCCUGGUAACAGAAGCUGGCUUAGAGAAGCCGUCGAAGCGCACCGAAAGAGUUUUCUUUUCUGUUUUAUAGUCGUAUUACCAUGGAAGUCUUUCGAAGAGAGAUAUGGUAAAUGGACUAGAAGAGCAUGGCCUAUAUUGCUGUGUCGUGUGCGUCUUCCUCGGACCUUGAAAAUCUAAGCCAGGGCCACGUAAACAUUCUCAAUAGACCGUACCAAUAUCCGCAGCAGGUCUCCAAGGUUAAAAGUCUCUAGUCGAUAGAAUAAUGUAGGUAAGGGAAGUCGGCAAAUUAGAUCCGUAACUUCGGGAUAAGGAUUGGCUCUGAAGAUUGAGAUGUGUCGGGCUUGUGGUGGGAACUAUUAUAAACUGUAUUGCUAAAGUGUCAGAGUAGUCGUUGGCUUUCGGGUCGAUGGCAAAAUGAUGUGAUUACGCGAUACGAGAUAGGGAACCCGCAAGCUAUGCCAUGCAUCGUUAAGGGGGCGUAGCAAUACGUCUCUGAUGCAUGGAUUAACAACGACCAUCAACAAACAAUCAAUUCAGAACUGGCACGGACAAGGGAAAUCCGACUGUCUAAUUAAAACAAAGCAUUGUGAUGGCCCCAACGGGUGUUGACACAAUGUGAUUUCUGCCCAUUGCUUUGAAUGUCAAAGUGAAG